rnacentral:rRNA from 1 species
ACCCAGACUCCUACGGGAGGCAGCAGUGGGGAAUAUUGCACAAUGGGGGAAACCCUGAUGCAGCGACGCCGCGUGAGUGAAGAAGUAAUUCGUUAUGUAAAGCUCUAUCAGCAGGGAAGAAAAUGACGGUACCUGAGUAAGAAGCCCCGGCUAACUACGUGCCAGCAGCCGCGGUAAUACGUAGGGGGCAAGCGUUAUCCGGAUUUACUGGGUGUAAAGGGAGCGUAGACGGCACUGCAAGUCCGGAGUGAAAGCCCAAGGCUUAACCAUGGGACUGCUCUGGAAACUGUGGAGCUUGAGUGCGGGAGGGGCAGGCGGAAUUCCUAGUGUAGCGGUGAAAUGCGUAGAUAUUAGGAGGAACACCAGUGGCGAAGGCGGCUUACUGGACUGUAACUGACGUUGAGGCUCGAAAGCGUGGGGAGCAAACAGGAUUAGAUACCCUCGUAUG